UCCCAUCUCUUUUAGGGUUUGUUCAAUUCGUUUUAGGGUUGUUCUCGAAGAUGGAUAUGCCGAAGACAUUAGAUGCGACUGGGGCAGCUGGUGAGAAGCGGACAUUGGAGGUGGAUGCUGUGAUUGGAGCUGAUGGGGCCAAUUCUAGGGUUGCUAAGUUUAUUUCUGCUGGGGAUUAUGAGUAUCUAUUGCCUUUCAGGAGCUCUAAUCUGUACGCAGUCAGCUUGUUGCAGAGCAGUCUUGGUGUUUUAAGCUUGAGUAAUUGACGCGUGCAUAAUGCCUUGACGGAGGGGAGGGGGUCUGAUUUCUUCAACCAUCAGAAAUCUGUUUCUGACAACCUUGCAGCUUUGGCAUAGAUUGCUUAUUCAGGCAAAGAUUGUGGUUCUGGUUGAGUACAGAAAUAAGGAUCUUAAUCACGUGGAGUGGGCCAAGGCUUUGAAGGAGCUCUACUUACCAGGUUUGAGGGAUUAUGUUAAGAGUUUCUAUCCACUUGGACCACUGUGGAGUUUCUGUAGCAAAGCUAUUGUCUCUGCUGCGCCUAAAUCCCCUGCACCAGCUGCUCCUGCAACACCCCCACCACCUCCUGCUCCUUUCUUCUCAGAUCUAAACCUUCCUCUUCAAAACCAAAGCGAAUGGAAGAACUUGAAAGUGAAACGAGAAGAAUGAGGAAAGAUCUAGACAAAGAAAAGCCAGAAGGCAUCUAUAGCUGAACUGAAAACAUAGCUAGAUGAAGAGCGUGACCAAAGAAGAGAAGAGCGAGAAAAGGCUGCUGCAGAUCUGAAAGCUUCAAUACAAAGGGUUCAGUCCGAGGCUGAAGAAGAAUUAAAACGAGCAUCAGAUGCUGCUUCGAGGUGAGAAAGAGAACAACAAGAAGUUAUCAGUAAACUUCAGGUCUAUACUCCGAGGAAUGCGCCUUAUGGUAGUGAGGAAAUUGAUGUGGUUCGUGAGCAAUGGGAUAAGUUUUUUACCUGCAAGUAUUUAUUAUUGGCCUGAGCGCGUUUGAUCGAGUUGGCUUAGAUGUUAUAGAACAAUCUUUUAUAUUAAAAUGUAUGCGUACGUUGAAAUUGGAACACAUAUAUUUAAAUGUACUACAUGCACUUUGUUUUGGGAUAUAUAAUAUACAAAACACCAGUUAUUGUUUUUAUAA